ACGAACGCUGGCGGCGUGCUUAACACAUGCAAGUCGAACGGAAAGGCCCCUUCGGGGGUACUCGAGUGGCGAACAGGUGAGUAACACGUGAGUAACCUGCCCUUGACUUCGGGAUAACUUCAGGAAACUGGGGCUAAUACCGGAUAGGAAUCCUUGCUGCAUGGUGGGGGUUGGAAAGCUUCGGCGGUUUUGGAUGGACUCGCGGCUUAUCAGCUUGUUGGUGGGGUAGUGGCUUACCAAGGCUUUGACGGGUAGCCGGCCCGAGAGGGCGACCGGCCACAUUGGGACUGAGAUACGGCCCAGACUCCUACGGGAGGCAGCAGUGGGGAAUAUUGCACAAUGGGCGGAAGCCUGAUGCAGCAACGCCGCGUGCGGGAUGACGGCCUUCGGGUUGUAAACCGCUUUCAGCAGGGGCGAAGCUUGUGGUGACGGUACCUGCAGAAGAAGCACCGGCUAACUACGUG
rnacentral:rRNA from 1 species